UACGUACUCCCUCCGUUUCGAAUUACUUGUUACAUGUAUGGAUGUAUCUUAGAUGUAUUUUAGUUCUAGAUACAUCCAUCUCUACGACGAGUAAUUUGGAACGGAGGGAGUAGUAA
rnacentral:pre_miRNA from 1 species